UGAGAAAUCUUCAAAGGACCUCAUGAGAAAAGCAGGGGUACCAAUUAAACAAUGAAGAGGAUCCAGCUGGCAUCAAUCUGUCCAUGAUCACUGUUGUUGGCCUUGUCGAGUCUGAGCACCACCAUAUCCCCCUACGUAACCAACUUGCCCACCAUGAGGUCCAUUUGCCUGAGGAGUUCCAUAGUUUCCAGAAGCUUGUGAUGGUUCAGAUCUCCAUCCUGCAUUUCCAUAUCCUGAAUUUCCAUUUG
rnacentral:lncRNA from 1 species